UGCAAGUCGAGCGGUAAGGCCCUUCGGGGUACACGAGCGGCGAACGGGUGAGUAACACGUGAGCAACCUGCCCCUGACUCUGGGAUAAGCGGUGGAAACGCCGUCUAAUACCGGAUACGACCCGCCACCUCAUGGUGGAGGGUGGAAAGUUUUUCGGUCAGGGAUGGGCUCGCGGCCUAUCAGCUUGUUGGUGGGGUAACGGCCUACCAAGGCGAUUACGGGUAGCCGGCCUGAGAGGGCGACCGGCCACACUGGGACUGAGACACGGCCCAGACUCCUGCGGGAGGCAGCAGUGGGGAAUAUUGCGCAAUGGGCGAAAGCCUGACRCAGCGACGCCGCGUGGGGGAUGACGGCCUUCGGGUUGUAAACCUCUUUUACCACCAACGCAGGCUCGAAGUUCUCUUCGGGUUGACGGUAGGUGGGGAAUAAGGACCGGCUAACUACGUGCCRGCAGCCGCGGUAAUACSUARGGUCCGAGCGUUGUCCGGAAUUAUUGGGCGUAAAGAGCUCGUASGCGGCGUGUCSCGUCUGCUGUGAAAGACCGGGGCUUAACUCCGGUUCUGCMGUGGAUACNGGCAUGCUAGASGUAGGUAGGGGAGACUGGAAUUCCNGGUGUAGCGGUGAAAUGCGCAGAUAUCGGAGGAAUCCCGGUGGCAAAAGCGGGUCCCUGGGCCUUACCUGACGCUGANGAGCGAAAGU
rnacentral:rRNA from 1 species